AAACAAGCAAAACCCAAAAUAGCCAGGAAUGGGGGCACACGCCUGUAGUCCCAGCUAUGCAGGAGGCUGAGGUGACGGAAUCACUUGAGCCUGGAAGUUGAGGCUGCAGUGAGCUAUGAUUGCUCCACUGCAGUCAAGCCUGAGCAAAAGAGUGAGCCUUAUCUCAAAAGAGAGAGAGAGAGAAAUGUCUGAAACAAACAAAUGAAUAAACAAAAUAAAUCUUCUGGUCUUUGAAAAUGAGCUUUGUGUGUAUGUUGGAGGAUACCCUCAGCACUCAGCCAGGCAGCUGACAACUCUACCUCAGCCUUUAUUCCCUACUUAUGCCCCAUCUGAAGGUCAGCCAGAGGUAAGAACUUAGGCCCUCCUCAGGUCUUUCCUGAGCAUAUGACUAGCCUUGGGCAUGCAUAUGGUUUUCUAGAUUCUGAAGAAAGUGUCAGAACUUUCCAAACCCCUUAUUUACCAAAGCAUUUUAUUGCCCAGCUUGGUUUUGGUUAGUCUAUUGUUUGCCCCAACUGAUAGCAGUGACAAAAUAUAGAAGUGAAGAAGGCCUUUUCUGUUUUCAGAACUUUUUGGAUUUCAGAAUGACAGGAAGGAAUUUUGAACCUGUAUUAUCAUUCAUGCCCAGUCAACAGAUCAGGAAACUGAGAUUGAAUGUGUCCAUUAUUUGCUAUAUCUCGCUGUCUUCUAAUUUUCAGCAACUGUUUCAAGAUUUACUCCAUCUCUUUUGGGCCAAUACUCAAAUCUUUUUUGAAUCUGAGUUUAGCCUGUACCCCCUUCCUCCUUCGCAAAACUAUAAUGAUUAACUGAGAUGACAUGUGUCAAGCCUUAGCAUGGUGCCAGCACAGAGUAAGUUCUCAUAAAAGCUAGCCAUUAUUGUUACAAGUAAGGUUUUUAAUUGUCUGAUGCAGAGAGAGAACCGGGUGAGAUGUGAUAAAAACCUGGGUAAAUAGACUCUUCAACAUGGUUUGUUUUU
rnacentral:lncRNA from 10 species